GCUGCUAAUUUGGUGAACUCUGUAGGCUUUUCUGCUCCUGCAUGGAGAAGAAAGAAAACAACCAAAGUAUGAUGGCAAGAAUAUAUGGAGAGAUUUGGCAGUGAAUCAACACUUUGUCAAGGAGCAAUUCUGCCUUCCCCCUCAAGUUCCUGCUCACUAUGGCUAGUGUUAAUGGAACUGCAGCAAGGACAGCUGAAGCAACUCGCUGUUCUACCAGUUCAAGUUUAUCUGUUUGUACAAAUAUCACAAUAAAAAAAACAGUGGCACUACAGUACAUCUUUCCCGGUCACCUUCUCUUCUCCCAGUAGCUGCAGUGCUCUACGAACUCCUAGCUGUGUUCCAUAGAACUGCAAGGCCAGUUGGUAGAAGUAUGAGAUUGACUGAUUUGAGCAGAGACGGCUUACAAAAGCAAGGACAAGAGCUGGCUUCAUGAACCUAGUAUAUCAGCAGGAGUUGUAAUAACUAUCUGAGAUAAUAGGAGAUGAAUCUGACUGGAACUAUGUGAUCUUGGGAAGUCAUGAAUUGAGUCUAUUUCAGAAGACAUUACUAAGCAAGGCAUGCCCUAAGUUAGACGUCCUAUCUCCUAGCUGGUGAGGGAAGAGAUCUACGAGCCUGUUCCUUGCUGCGUGUCACUGCUUACCUGGUAACACCACUGUAUGACUACAAGCAUACUUCUCCUGGCCAGAGGGCAAGCAGAGUGGACAUAUGCAUCCUCAUGCUCAAACUGCUGCUAAGUAACAGGACUACACCAUUCCCAUGACAUGUCAGGCCUCCUGGGAUGCUCAACUGCCAUGUGAGUUUCGCUUAAGUGAAAGCCAAAUACUUUCCUGGAAACAAAGCCAGCGUGUAUUCACUUUGCUUGCUGACAACAGUGGCGUGGCUCACCGCUAUUUCACUGGAUUGUCUCGUAACAGUAGCGUCGGACACCUCUGUGCUUCGAGAGGUAAGACGCACAUGUAUCUGUACGAUGUAUAGACCAACACGGCAGGGCAGAUCAGGUGUGCUGGUCCAAAAAGCAGCACCCCAAAUGUCACCAGCGGAAAGGAGCGGGAAAGAUAUCGGGAGCAUAGGCCUGACCGCCCAGCCUUACCCACCUCCAAGCCGCUCGGCCCGGGGCUCUGUACACCCAGCACGCACAGGGCCGGGGUACCGCAACCCCAACCCGCCUCGGGCGGCGGGAUGGCCAAACUCCCUGCAGUUCCGGCCGCCCCCCUGGAACUUCGCGCUGCGCCCGGGCCGCCGUGACGCUCUGCACCGGGAGAGGCGAAGUAGCGUGUGAGGGGAUCUUGCGGUGCUGGAGACAUACAGAUCGAUCCUUCCCGCUCGCCCCCUGCGCCCGCUCACCUUCUGGGCCGCCUCGGCGCGGCCCCGCCGCCCCGGCCGGCCGCUCGCCAGGUCCCGCAGCGAUAAGACGUUCACCUCCAUCUGCAAAGUGAGAAGGCACUUUUAUCCUGGCCCUUAAGAAAAGCCGCUCCCACCCCAGGUCAGAGCUCCCGUCCACAGCGGGACGCAAAAAAUGCGCGGCGGUUUGAGACU